AUGACUUAAACGCUUUUACUUCCUGAUUUAACACUUUGAAAUUGGGGUUCUGUCUCUUUAAGGAACUCCUGCUCUCUGUGAAGCUCCACCUUCAGGUAGGCAUUAUAAGUGGAACCCAGAUGUUUUGGCUGAAUUGUUGCCAUGGAGAUGAAAGGAUUUCUCAAACAUGCAUGAAUGAAUCAAGGCAACACUCCAGAAACACCUGUUAGGUGGGUCUAAAUGUAAGGAAAUGAAGAAGGGGUCAUGGGAAAUGUAGUCCUGUGUGUGCGAACACACUUGGUGGAUAAAACUGAUUCUGAUUCUGAAUA